rnacentral:rRNA from 1 species
GACGAACGCUGGCGGCAUGCUUAACACAUGCAAGUCGACCGGAAUAUGGGUGUUUAGCUGAGGUUGGGGAGGCGGACGGGGGAGUAACGCGCAUAGGACUUGCCUCACAGCUAGUGACAACAGCUGGAAACGAAUGCUAUUAUCUAAUAUUAGGAUAAUAGCCCAUCGUAUAAUUAUGGAAGCUAUAAGCGCUGUGAGAGAGCUUUGCGUCCCAUUAGCUAGUUGGAGAGGUAAGGGCUCGCCAAGGCGAUGAUGGGUAGCCGGCCUGAGAGGGUGAUCGGCCACCAGGGGCGGGAGAAAGGGCCCUUACUCCUCCGGGCGGAAGCAGUGGGGAUUUUUGGAAAAUGGACCAAGAGUCUGAUACAGAAGCUCUGUGUGGAAGAUGAAGUUUCUCGGAGUGUAAAGUGUUUUGAGUUGGGGAGAAAGAAAUGACGGUACCAACAGAAGAAGCGCCGGCUAACUACGUG